GACGAACGCUGGCGGCGUGCCUAAUACAUGCAAGUAGAACGCUGAAGAGAGGAGCUUGCUCUUCUUGGAUGAGUUGCGAACGGGUGAGUAACGCGUAGGUAACCUGCCUGGUAGCGGGGGAUAACUAUUGGAAACGAUAGCUAAUACCGCAUGAUAUUAAUUAUUGCAUGAUAAUUGAUUGAAAGAUGCAAUUGCAUCACUACCAGAUGGACCUGCGUUGUAUUAGCUAGUUGGGGAGGUAACGGCUCACCAAGGCGACGAUACAUAGCCGACCUGAGAGGGUGAUCGGCCACACUGGGACUGAGACACGGCCCAGACUCCUACGGGAGGCAGCAGUAGGGAAUCUUCGGCAAUGGGGGGAACCCUGACCGAGCAACGCCGCGUGAGUGAAGAAGGUUUUCGGAUCGUAAAGCUCUGUUGUAAGAGAAGAACGGGUGUGAGAGUGGAAAGUUCACACUGUGACG
rnacentral:rRNA from 1 species